AGGAGAUUGUUGCUGAGUUGGUUUAUAGUUUCCUGAUCCCAGAGGUACAGAAGGAGUUUGUCAAAGAAAAAGUGAGGAAUGCACAGCGGAAGCAUAUCCUUGCGGCCCAUCAGAUCAUCCACGGGCACACAGAAGACAUGGUCAAGAAGAAUUUUGUUGAGCAAGAGCAAGAUGAAGAGGUCUCAGACACUGACAAGUCACCUGAGGAAGAUACUCAAAAUAAGAAUAGCAGCUAAGGUCCUCCCUGUCCAAGGCCCAAGUCAGCCUCACAACCAGUGAGAUUCAUAAUCCGAUGCUCCCCAGUGCUAGCAGAAUCCCCUAUGGACAGACGGAAGCCGGCCUGAAAGAAAGGAGUCCCAUGACCAUGGGUCCCAGUCACCACCCCUGGCCAAGCUGACUGACAGUGCGACGUGUGCACCAUCUUAUUUCUGCAUUUGGCUGAGGAGAGCAAGGUGAGCAACCCCUUGAUAAAUGCUGAC
rnacentral:lncRNA from 1 species